rnacentral:rRNA from 1 species
AGAGUUUGAUCCUGGCUCAGGACGAACGCUGGCGGCGUGCCUAAUACAUGCAAGUCGAACGCACUCUCGUUUAGAUUGAAGGAGCUUGCUCCUGAUUGAUAAACAUUUGAGUGAGUGGCGGACGGGUGAGUAACACGUGGGUAACCUGCCCUAAAGUGGGGGAUAACAUUUGGAAACAGGUGCUAAUACCGCAUAAAACCUAACACCGCAUGGUGUAGGGUUGAAAGAUGGUUUCGGCUAUCACUUUAGGAUGGACCCGCGGUGCAUUAGUUAGUUGGUGAGGUAAAGGCUCACCAAGACCGUGAUGCAUAGCCGACCUGAGAGGGUAAUCGGCCACACUGGGACUGAGACACGGCCCAGACUCCUACGGGAGGCAGCAGUAGGGAAUCUUCCACAAUGGACGAAAGUCUGAUGGAGCAACGCCGCGUGAGUGAAGAAGGUUUUCGGAUCGUAAAACUCUGUUGUUGGAGAAGAAUGUAUCUGAUAGUAACUGAUCAGGUAGUGACGGUAUCCAACCAGAAAGCCACGGCUAACUACGUGCCAGCAGCCGCGGUAAUACGUAGGUGGCAAGCGUUGUCCGGAUUUAUUGGGCGUAAAGCGAGCGCAGGCGGUUUCUUAAGUCUGAUGUGAAAGCCUUCGGCUCAACCGAAGAAGUGCAUCGGAAACUGGGAAACUUGAGUGCAGAAGAGGACAGUGGAACUCCAUGUGUAGCGGUGAAAUGCGUAGAUAUAUGGAAGAACACCAGUGGCGAAGGCGGCUGUCUGGUCUGUAACUGACGCUGAGGCUCGAAAGCAUGGGUAGCAAACAGGAUUAGAUACCCUGGUAGUCCAUGCCGUAAACGAUGAGUGCUAGGUGUUGGAGGGUUUCCGCCUCUUAGUGCCGAAGCUAACGCAUUAAGUGUUCCGCCUGGGGAGUACGACCGCAAGGUUGAAACUCAAAGGAAUUGACGGGGACCCGCACAAGCGGUGGAGCAUGUGGUUUAAUUCGAAGCAACGCGAAGAACCUUACCAGGUCUUGACAUCCUUUGAAGCUUUUAGAGAUAGAAGUGUUCUCUUCGGAGACAAAGUGACAGGUGGUGCAUGGUCGUCGUCAGCUCGUGUCGUGAGAUGUUGGGUUAAGUCCCGCAACGAGCGCAACCCUUAUUGUUAGUUGCCAGCAUUCAGAUGGGCACUCUAGCGAGACUGCCGGUGACAAACCGGAGGAAGGCGGGGACGACGUCAGAUCAUCAUGCCCCUUAUGACCUGGGCUACACACGUGCUACAAUGGCGUAUACAACGAGUUGCCAACCCGCGAGGGUGAGCUAAUCUCUUAAAGUACGUCUCAGUUCGGAUUGUAGUCUGCAACUCGACUACAUGAAGUCGGAAUCGCUAGUAAUCGCGGAUCAGCACGCCGCGGUGAAUACGUUCCCGGGUCUUGCACUCACCGCCCGUCA